UACGGAGGAUGCAAGCGUUAUCCGGAAUGAUUGGGCGUAAAGCGUCCGCAGGUGGCAAUGUAAGUCUGCUGUCAAAGCGUCUGGCUCAACCAGAUAAAGGCAGUGGAAACUACAUAGCUAGAGUAAGGUAGGGGUAGAGGGAAUUCCCAGUGUAGCGGUGAAAUGCGUAGAGAUUGGGAAGAACACCGGUGGCGAAAGCGCUCUGCUGGGCCGCAACUGACACUAAUGGACGAAAGCUAGGGGAGCGAAUGGG
rnacentral:rRNA from 1 species